CUGGUUGAUCCUACCAGUAAUAUACGCUUGUCUCAAAGGUUAAGCCAUGCAUGUCUAAGUACAAACAUAAAUGAAUGUGAAACCGCAUAAGGCUCAGUAUAACAGCUAUAAUUCACAAGAUCAUCCUACCACUAGUUACUUGGAUAACUGUGGAAAAUCCAGAGCUAAUACAUGCAACAUGCCGGGACUGUUGCCCUCGCGGGUAGCUGAACUGGUGCACUUAUUAGUUAAACCAAUCGCCUCCGGGCGGCUUGAGUUGAAGUCUGGAUAAGGACGCAGAUCGUAUGGUCGCUUGUCGACUGACGACAGAUCUUUCAAAUGUCUGCCCUAUCAACUAUUGAUGGUAGUGUAGAGGACUACCAUGGUUGCGACGGGUAACGGGGAAUCAGGGUUCGAUUCCGGAGAGGGAGCCUGAGAAAUGGCUACCACAUCCAAGGAAGGCAGCAGGCGCGUAAAUUACCCAAUCCCAGUACGGGGAGGUAGUGACGAGAAAUAACAAUAUGGACCUCUCUAACGAUGGUCCAUAAUUGGAAUGAGUUGAGUAUAAAUCCUUCAACAAGGAUCAAGUGGAGGGCAAGUCUGGUGCCAGCAGCCGCGGUAAUUCCAGCUCCACUAGCGUAUAUUAAAGUUGUUGCGGUUAAAACGUUCGAAGUUGAUUGCCCGUCCAGACACGUGACCGCCACGGGCGCCCGGUUACACGCCGGGGCCGUUCGUGCGCGCGCUCACGGCUGCGACUCACAAUGGUGUACUUGGGCGUUACUCUGUGAACGAGUACCGUGCUACCGGUUAACUCCGGCACGGGCUCCUCAUGGUGCUCAAGAUACUCACAUUUACCUUGAACAAAUUAGAGUGCUCAAAGCAGGCUAAGACAAAGCGUCCGGCCCCCCCGUGGGGUUGGCGUUGGCCGAGAAUAAUCUUGCAUGGAAUAAUGGAAUAUGACCUCGGUUUAUACGAUUUCGUUGGUUUGUCAGAAACCUAGAGGUAAUGAUUAACAGAAGUAGUUGGGGGCAUUGGUAUUACGGCGCGAGAGGUGAAAUUCGUAGACCGUCGUAGGACCAACUGAAGCGAAAGCGUUUGCCAUGGAUGCUUUCUUUAAUCAAGAACGAAAGUUAGAGGAUCGAAGGCGAUUAGAUACCGCCCUAGUUCUAACCGUAAACGAUGCAAUUAGCAAUUGGGAGACGCUACCCCUAUUCGGUGCCUCUCAGUCGCUUCCGGGAAACCAAAAUCGGGUUCCG
rnacentral:rRNA from 1 species